rnacentral:rRNA from 1 species
UGCGUAGGCGGAACUUUAAGUCAGUGGUGAAAUCCUGCGGCUCAACCGUAGAACUGCCAUUGAUACUGAUGUUCUUGAAUACAGUUGAGGUAGGCGGAAUGUGUAAUGUAGCGGUGAAAUGCUUAGAUAUUACACAGAACACCGAUUGCGAAGGCAGCUUGCUAAACUGUGAUUGACGCUGAUGCACGAAAGCGUGGUGAGCGAACAGGAUUAGAUACCCUGGUAGUCC